AAAAAAUAAUAAAGAAACUAUCUACAAUUAGAAUAGGCAAAGGAUGAUUGUGAAUUUGUGAUUGAGAAAGCCCAAAUCAAACUGAGAAUUCCUUAAUCAAUUGAAUUGAAAAGGAGGUGGGAGGAUAGGAUGAGAUGCGGUUCCAUAGAACGGAUGUAUGCAGAACGAAUUUUUUUAAAAGGUUUAGAAAGAUAAAGGAUAUUGGGUUUAAAAGAAAUAAAAUCAAGAAAGUAAAAAUGAAAAAAGAAAUUUGAAAUUAAUAAAAAUAGAAAUUUAAAAAUAUUAGAAAUCAUAAUUUGAUGAUGUGGUUAUGUCAUCUUAACUUGCCACAUAAGGUAGACUAUAGGUGGUUCACCUAACAUUACUCAUAAAUGAAGCUUCACGUUGCUAAAUAUUGGAGUGAAAAACUUCUCAACCCACAAAAAGAAAAACAAGAAUUACUUUCAUUUCCACAAAUCAAAGGAGACAUUAGAGUUAGAAUUAGGGUACUUGAAUAAGGAA
rnacentral:lncRNA from 1 species